AACGGCCGUACCAUGCUGAAUAUACCGGUUCUCGUUAGAUCACCGAAGUCAAGCAUCAUUGGGCACGGUCAGUACUUGGGUGGGUGACCACCUGGGAACACCGCGUGCCGUU